rnacentral:rRNA from 1 species
GUCGACGCACUGACGUCGACCGAAGCUGCUUGCAGUGGACGUUGAUUGACGUGAGUGGCGGACGGGUGAGUAACACGUGGGUAACCUACCCUUAAGUGGGGGAUAACAUUUGGAAACAGAUGCUAAUACCGCAUAACCAUUCAGACCACAUGGUCUGAAUGUAAAAGACGGCCUUUGGCUGUCACUUUUGGACGGACCCGCGGCGUAUUAGUUAGUUGGUAAGGUAACGGCUUACCAAGACAAUGAUACGUAGCCGACCUGAGAGGGUAAUCGGCCACAUUGGGACUGAGACACGGCCCAAACUCCUACGGGAGGCAGCAGUAGGGAAUCUUCCACAAUGGACGAAAGUCUGAUGGAGCAACGCCGCGUGAGUGAAGAAGGUUUUAGGAUCGUAAAACUCUGUUGUUGGAGAAGAACAGGGACUAGAGUAACUGUUAGUCCUUUGACGGUAUCCAACCAGAAAGCCACGGCUAACUACGUGCCAGCAGCCGCGGUAAUACGUAGGUGGCAAGCGUUGUCCGGAUUUAUUGGGCGUAAAGCGAGCGCAGGCGGUUUUUUAAGUCUGAUGUGAAAGCCUUCGGCUUAACCGAAGAAGUGCAUUAGAAACUGGGAAACUUGAGUGCAGAAGAGGACAGUGGAACUCCAUGUGUAGCGGUGAAAUGCGUAGAUAUAUGGAAGAACACCAGUGGCGAAGGCGGCUGUCUGGUCUGUAACUGACGCUGAGGCUCGAAAGUAUGGGGAGCGAACAGGAUUAGAUACCCUGGUAGUCCAUACCGUAAACGAUGAAUGCUAAGUGUUGGAGGGUUUCCGCCCUUCAGUGCUGCAGCUAACGCAUUAAGCAUUCCGCCUGGGGAGUACGACCGCAAGGUUGAAACUCAAAGGAAUUGACGGGGGCCC